rnacentral:tRNA from 1 species
UCCCCGGUGGCUCAGAUGGUAAAGCAUCUGCUUGCAAUGCAGGAGACCCAGGUUCAAUCCCUGGGUGGAGAA